rnacentral:rRNA from 1 species
ACUCAAAUGAAUUGACGGGGGCCCGCACAAGCGGCGGAGCGUGCGGUUUAAUUCGACGCGACGCGCAGAACCUUACCCGGGCUUGAAACGCCCCUGCAGAGCCGCGAAAGCGGUUGGCCUUCGAGGGUGGGGCACAGGUGCUGCAUGGCUGUCGUCAGCUCGUGCCGUGAGGUGUUGGGUUAAGUCCCGCAACGAGCGCAACCCCCGCCGCCAGUUGCAGCCGUGUCUGGCGGGACGGCCCCGCGAGGGGAGGAAGGAGGGGAUGAUGUCAAGUCAGCAUGGCCCUGACGUCCGGGGCGACACGCACGCUACAAUGGCCGGGACAACGGGUCGCCAAGGCGCGAGCCGGAGCCAAUCCCCCAAACCCGGUCUCAGUUCGGAUCGGGGGCUGCAACCCGCCCCCGUGAAGGCGGAGUCGCUAGUAACCGCGGGUCAGCACUACCGCGGUGAAUGUGUUCCCGGGCCUUGCACACACCGCCCGU